GACGAACGCUGGCGGCGUGCCUAAUACAUGCAAGUCGAGCGAAUCACAGGGAGCUUGCUCCCGGUGGUUAGCGGCGGACGGGUGAGUAACACGUGGGCAACCUGCCUGUAAGACUGGGAUAACACCGGGAAACCGGUGCUAAUACCGGAUAAUUCUUUUCUGCACAUGCAGGAAAGCUGAAAGUCGGUUUCGGCUGACACUUACAGAUGGGCCCGCGGCGCAUUAGCUAGUUGGUGAGGUAACGGCUCACCAAGGCGACGAUGCGUAGCCGACCUGAGAGGGUGAUCGGCCACACUGGGACUGAGAUACGGCCCAGACUCCUACGGGAGGCAGCAGUAGGGAAUCUUCCACAAUGGACGAAAGUCUGAUGGAGCAACGCCGCGUGAGCGAUGAAGGCCUUCGGGUCGUAAAGCUCUGUUGUUAGGGAAGAACAAGUACCGGAGUAACUGCCGGUACCUUGACGGUACCUAACCAGAAAGCCACGGCUAACUACGUGCCAGCCGCCGCAGUAA
rnacentral:rRNA from 1 species